AUUGAACGCUGGCGGCAGGCCUAACACAUGCAAGUCGAGCGAGCGGCGGACGGGUGAGUAAUGCCUGAGAAUUGCCCAGUCGCGGGGGAUAACAGUUGGAAACGACUGCUAAUACCGCAUACGCUUGGAGUGCCCAGGGGGGGUUAGCUAGUUGGUGAGUUAAUGGCUCACCCAGGCAACGAUCCAUAGCUGGCCUGAGAGGAUGAUCAGCCACACUGGAACGGAGACACGGUCCAGACUCCGACGGGAGGCAGCAGUGGGGAAUAUGGCACAAUGGGGGAAACCCUGACGGAGCCAUGCCGCGUGAGUGAAGAAGGCCUUCGGAUUGUAAAGCACUUUCAGCGAGGAGGCGGUACUCGCAGAAGAAGCACCGGCUAACUCCGUGCCAGCAGCCGCGGUAAUAC
rnacentral:rRNA from 1 species